rnacentral:rRNA from 1 species
AGCGAACGCUGGCGGCAGGCCUAACACAUGCAAGUCGAACGAACCUUUCGGGGUUAGUGGCGGACGGGUGAGGACCACGUGGGAACGUGCCUUUAGGUACGGAAUAACUCAGGGAAACUUGUGCUAAUACCGAAUGUGCCCUUCGGGGGUAAGAUCUGUCGCCUUUGGAUCGGCCCGCGUCUGGUUCGCUAGUUGGUUGAGGUAAUGGCUCACCAAGGCGACGAUGAGUAGCUGGUCGGAGAGGAUGCUAAGCCACAUUGGGACUGAGACACGGCCUAAACUGCGACGGAAGGGAGGAGAGGGUAAUCUUGCGCAAGGGGGGAAAGCGUGACGAAGCCAUGCCGCGUGAAUGAUGAAGGUCUUAGGAUUGUAAAAUUCUUUCUGCGGAGUCGAUAAUGACGGUACCCGGAGAAGAAGCCCCGGCUAACUUCGUG